AGGCCUCGCCCCUAGGUGUUCCCGCCCCUCCCCCUCCCGUGUGGUUCGCUUUCUGUCAGCCUCUCUCCCUCUCCCUCUCCCCUCUCCUUCCUCUCGCUUCCUCUCUCGCACCUGAGCGCACGCACCUGCCCGGGCCCGGCUCCCUCCUCCUCCUCCCCUCCCUCUAUCCCCGCCCGGCCGCGGGAGCUCGUGGCUGCGUCACCGCCGCCCCCCCCCAGACAAGAUGGACACCGCGGAGGAAGACAUAUGUAGAGUGUGUCGGUCGGAAGGAACACCUGAGAAACCGCUUUAUCAUCCUUGUGUAUGUACUGGCAGUAUUAAGUUUAUCCAUCAAGAAUGCUUAGUUCAGUGGCUGAAACACAGUCGAAAAGAAUACUGUGAAUUAUGCAAGCACAGAUUUGCUUUUACACCAAUUUAUUCUCCAGAUAUGCCUUCACGGCUUCCAAUUCAAGACAUAUUUGCUGGACUGGUUACAAGUAUUGGUACUGCAAUACGAUAUUGGUUUCAUUAUACACUUGUGGCCUUUGCAUGGUUGGGAGUUGUUCCUCUUACAGCAUGCCGCAUCUACAAGUGCUUGUUUACUGGCUCUGUGAGCUCACUACUGACACUGCCAUUAGAUAUGCUGUCGACGGAAAAUUUGUUGGCAGAUUGUUUGCAGGGUUGUUUUGUGGUGACAUGCACACUGUGUGCAUUCAUCAGCCUGGUGUGGUUGAGAGAGCAGAUAGUCCAUGGGGGAGCACCAAUUUGGUUGGAGCAUGCUGCCCCACCCUUCAAUGCUGCGGGGCAUCACCAAAAUGAGGCUCCAGCAGGAGGAAAUGGUGCAGAAAAUGUUGCUGCUGAUCAGCCUGCUAACCCACCAGCUGAGAAUGCAGUGGUGGGGGAAAACCCUGAUGCCCAGGAUGACCAGGCAGAAGAGGAGGAGGAGGACAAUGAGGAGGAAGAUGACGCUGGUGUGGAAGAUGCGGCAGAUGCUAAUAACGGAGCCCAGGAUGACAUGAAUUGGAAUGCUUUAGAAUGGGACCGAGCUGCUGAAGAGCUUACAUGGGAAAGAAUGCUAGGACUUGAUGGAUCACUAGUUUUUCUGGAACAUGUCUUCUGGGUGGUAUCUUUAAAUACACUGUUCAUUCUUGUUUUUGCAUUUUGCCCUUACCAUAUUGGUCAUUUCUCCCUUGUUGGUUUGGGAUUUGAAGAACACGUCCAAGCAUCUCAUUUUGAAGGCCUAAUCACAACCAUAGUUGGAUAUAUACUUUUAGCAAUAACACUGAUAAUUUGUCAUGGCUUGGCAACUCUUGUGAAAUUCCAUAGAUCUCGUCGCUUACUGGGAGUGUGCUAUAUUGUUGUUAAGGUCUCUUUGUUAGUGGUGGUAGAAAUUGGAGUAUUCCCUCUCAUUUGUGGUUGGUGGCUGGAUAUCUGUUCCUUGGAAAUGUUUGAUGCUACUCUGAAAGAUCGAGAACUGAGCUUUCAGUCGGCUCCAGGUACUACCAUGUUUCUGCAUUGGCUAGUGGGAAUGGUAUAUGUCUUCUACUUUGCCUCCUUCAUUCUAUUACUGAGAGAGGUACUUCGACCUGGUGUCCUAUGGUUUCUAAGGAAUUUGAAUGAUCCAGAUUUCAAUCCAGUACAGGAAAUGAUCCAUUUGCCAAUAUAUAGGCAUCUCCGAAGAUUUAUUUUGUCAGUGAUUGUCUUUGGCUCCAUUGUCCUCCUGAUGCUUUGGCUUCCUAUACGUAUAAUUAAGAGUGUGCUUCCUCAUUUUCUUCCAUACAAUGUCAUGCUCUACAGUGAUGCUCCAGUGAGUGAACUGUCCCUCGAGCUGCUUCUGCUUCAGGUUGUCUUACCAGCAUUACUUGAACAGGGACACACGAGGCAGUGGCUGAAGGGGCUGGUGCGAGCGUGGACUGUGACCGCCGGAUACCUGCUGGAUCUUCAUUCUUAUUUAUUGGGAGACCAGGAAGAAAAUGAAAACAGUGCAAAUCAACAAGUCAACAAUAAUCAGCAUGCUCGAAAUAACAAUGCUAUUCCUGUGGUGGGGGAAGGCCUUCAUGCAGCCCACCAAGCCAUACUCCAGCAGGGAGGGCCAGUUGGCUUUCAGCCUUACCGCCGACCUUUAAAUUUUCCACUCAGGAUAUUUCUGUUGAUUGUCUUUAUGUGUAUAACAUUACUGAUUGCCAGCCUCAUCUGCCUUACUUUACCAGUAUUUGCUGGCCGUUGGUUAAUGUCAUUUUGGACGGGGACUGCCAAAAUCCAUGAGCUCUACACAGCUGCUUGUGGUCUUUAUGUUUGCUGGCUAACCAUAAGGGCUGUGACGGUGAUGGUGGCAUGGAUGCCUCAGGGACGCAGAGUGAUCUUCCAGAAGGUUAAAGAGUGGUCUCUCAUGAUCAUGAAGACUUUGAUAGUUGCGGUGCUGUUGGCUGGAGUUGUCCCUCUCCUUCUGGGGCUCCUGUUUGAGCUGGUCAUUGUUGCUCCCCUGAGGGUUCCCUUGGAUCAGACUCCUCUUUUUUAUCCAUGGCAGGACUGGGCACUUGGAGUCCUGCAUGCCAAAAUCAUUGCAGCUAUAACAUUGAUGGGUCCUCAGUGGUGGCUGAAAACUGUAAUUGAACAGGUUUAUGCAAAUGGCAUCCGAAACAUUGACCUUCACUAUAUUGUUCGUAGACUGGCAGCUCCAGUGAUCUCUGUGCUGUUGCUUUCCCUGUGUGUACCUUAUGUCAUAGCCUCUGGUGUUGUUCCUUUACUAGGUGUUACUGCGGAAAUGCAAAACUUAGUCCAUCGGCGAAUUUAUCCAUUUUUACUGAUGGUGGUGGUAUUGAUGGCAAUUUUGUCCUUCCAGGUCCGCCAGUUUAAGCGCCUUUAUGAACAUAUUAAAAAUGACAAGUAUCUUGUGGGUCAACGACUUGUGAACUACGAACGGAAAUCUGGCAAACAAGGCUCAUCUCCAGCACCUCCACAGUCAUCCCAAGAAUAAAGUAGUUGUCUCAACAACUUGACCUUCCCCUUUACAUGUCCUUUUUUGUGGACUUCUCUCUUUGGAGAUUUUUCCCAGUGAUCUCUCAGCGUUGUUUUUAAGUUAAAUGUAUUUGACUUGUGUUCUCAGCAUUCAGAGAGCAGCGGUGUAAGGUUCUGCUGUUCUUCCCUGGAUCUUCUGACUUUACUGCUGUCUGAGAUUUGUAUAUGUGUAAAUACAAGUUCCUUGAUACCCUAAAACCUUGGAUUAAACAGAAUGUGCAUUGUACAUCUUUAAACAAAAUGUAUAUUAAUUUAUUAAAUCUAGUUGUCACUUUAUUUUGGACCUGCUGUGGUCUCGACAGGAAACAUGCCACAGAGCAGUAGUACACAGCCAAGACUUUUCAGUGAUGCCUUGUGGAGCGAAGUUCAUGAUGUCCUAGCAGCUCUCACUAAGGGAACUGUACAUUCUUUCUUGGCUAUUCAGACCUUACCAAGAACGUUAAAGGAAACAAGUAGAAAUCAGCAGUGGAGUGUCUGUGAUGUAGUCUUACUCUGUUGCCCAGGCUGGAGUGCAAGUGGCACGAUCCUGGCUCACUGCAAACUCUGCCUCCCAGGUUCAAGUGAUUCUCCUGCCUCAGCCUCCCAAGUAGCUGGUACUACAGGUGCGCACCACCACGCCUGGCUAAUUUUAGUUAUUUUAGUAGAGAUGGGGUUUCACCAUGUUGGCCAGGCUGGUCUCGGAACUCCUGACUGCAAGUGAUCUGCCCUUCUUGGGCUCCCAAAGUGCUGGAAUUACAGGUGUGAGCCACCACACCUGGCCAACUUGAUUAUGUUAAUUUUGGGUUUUGUUUUGUUUUGUUUUUUAAUUUUUCAAAGAAUUUGUGGAUCUUGGUAUAAAGUCAUUGGAACAUACCUGUUUUAACAGAAAGAGAUCCUAGGCAGAUACCUCAAAAGGUUAAAAAUUCUUAAUCCUACAGAAUUUUAAAUGAAUCUUAUCAAAUGUUUUGUAAACAAACAAUAUGAAUGGCCAAAACAUUGCCCUCCAUUUCACUGGCAGGUAAUUUAUAUUGUCUUACUUAAGAAUUCUCCCCUAGUUUUUCUAUUGUACUUUAUCCUGUUGUUUUCAAUGAGAUAAGUAUUGUCAUAGAAAAAGCAUUUUCCGGCAUAAUAUUUGCUUGGGUAGCAUUCAGAUUUUAUUAUUAAUAUUAACCAAGAGCCUUUUACAUAUUUAAAACCCAUAGUUCAGAAAAUGCUAGUAUUGCUGCCCUCCUUCACAUAAAUUUUUAAAAGAAUUAUACUAUAGUUUUGCUUCAUUUUAUAUUGGGUUAAAACAGCCUUCAAGAAAGUUAACUAGGAAAGAAGACCUUUUCGUUUUAUUUUUACUAUUUAUAUAUAGAAGACAGAUCAGCAUUUGGGAUUAGUUUUACAUGACCAGUUAUCAAAUGGUCAUAGUAUGAAGUGUGCAGUUGUUCAUUAUUAGUAAAUUAUGUUUGAUUUUUAAACUAUUUAGUACUAAUAGUUGAGAUGAAAACUGAAGAAAAAUGCCAAUGUGAUGUUUGUAUAUAGCUAGCCUUAAAAAACUUCCCAUGUUUUUAGGUGAUUUUUUUUCCCCCUCUUAGUUCUCUGGAGAAACAAUGAAGAUGGGCCAUUUCAAUUCCAGAUGUAAACAAAAAGUAAUUUUUAUUUCAACAUUUAAUGUAACUGUUACUGUGGAUUCUUGUUUUGUGUAUUUUCUUCCCCUUAUUCAAGUAAUAGAGAAUAACUUUCCUUCAAAUGAUUUGAUCCAAGAUACGUCAUUUCUGUAUUGGCAAAAUGCCACUAUUAAAAGUGUAAUUCUUGAAUUUAGGUUGAAUUGAUGACUUUUUAAAACAAAACAGUAACACUGGACAUUUCUACAUUGUAUUGCGUUUGCAAAUGUGCGUGAACACACGUGCAGGAGAAUGUAGUGCCAUAAGAACACUGGUACUUUUUAAAACUUUCCAAGUGAGCUACUUAUUUUCAUUUUCAGGGUUGAGUACUCUGAUCUCUCUACUUACUGUGAGAAGUUUUCUACAUUGUAAAAUUAAAAGAUUACAUUUAAAAUACUCCUUUAGGAUGUUAUUCAGCCAUCAAAAAAAAAAAAAAAAAAAAAA